GAGCAGUUUGAAGACUUACUAGUUAGAAUUUUAUUGCUGGCAGCGUGUAUAUCUUUUGUUUUGGCUUGGUUUGAAGAAGGUGAAGAAACCAUUACAGCCUUUGUAGAGCCUUUUGUAAUUCUACUUAUAUUAGUAGCUAAUGCAAUUGUGGGUGUAUGGCAGGAAAGGAAUGCUGAAAAUGCAAUCGAAGCCCUAAAGGAGUAUGAGCCUGAAAUGGGCAAAGUGUAUCGGCAGGACAGAAAGAGUGUACAACGGAUUAAAGCUAAAGAUAUAGUUCCUGGGGACAUUGUAGAAAUUGCUGUUGGUGACAAAGUUCCUGCUGAUAUAAGAUUAACUUCCAUCAAGUCUACAACUCUAAGAGUUGACCAGUCUAUUCUCACUGGUGAAUCCGUUUCAGUCAUCAAGCACACGGACCCUGUCCCUGACCCACGGGCUGUCAACCAAGACAAGAAGAACAUGCUUUUUUCUGGUACAAACAUUGCUGCUGGGAAAGCCAUGGGAGUGGUGGUAGCAACUGGAGUUAACACUGAAAUCGGCAAGAUCCGAGAUGAAAUGGUGGCCACAGAACAGGAGAGAACGCCUCUUCAGCAGAAACUGGAUGAAUUUGGGGAACAGCUUUCCAAAGUCAUCUCUGUCAUUUGCAUUGCAGUCUGGAUCAUAAACAUUGGGCACUUUAAUGAUCCAGUGCACGGGGGCUCCUGGAUCCGAGGUGCUAUCUACUACUUUAAGAUUGCAGUGGCUCUCGCAGUUGCAGCCAUCCCUGAGGGCCUGCCUGCUGUUAUCACCACCUGUCUGGCCCUUGGAACUCGCAGAAUGGCAAAGAAAAAUGCCAUUGUUCGAAGUCUUCCCUCUGUGGAAACCCUCGGUUGCACUUCCGUAAUCUGUUCGGAUAAGACUGGUACUCUUACUACAAACCAGAUGUCAGUAUGCAGGAUGUUCAUUCUGGACAAAGUUGAAGGUGAUACUUGCUCCCUUAAUGAGUUCACCAUAACUGGCUCAACAUACGCACCCAUUGGAGAAGUGCAUAAAGAUGACAAGCCAGUAAAAUGUCACCAAUAUGAUGGUCUUGUAGAAUUAGCAACCAUUUGUGCUCUUUGUAAUGACUCAGCUUUGGAUUACAAUGAGGCGAAAGGCGUGUAUGAAAAAGUUGGAGAAGCUACAGAGACUGCUCUCACUUGCCUGGUAGAGAAGAUGAAUGUAUUUGAUACCGAAUUGAAGGGUCUCUCUAAAAUAGAACGUGCAAAUGCCUGCAACUCGGUCAUUAAGCAGCUGAUGAAAAAGGAAUUUACUUUAGAGUUUUCACGUGAUAGGAAAUCAAUGUCUGUGUACUGCACACCCAACAAACCGAGCCGGACAUCCAUGAGCAAGAUGUUUGUGAAGGGUGCUCCAGAAGGUGUCAUUGACAGGUGUACCCACAUUCGAGUUGGGAGUACCAAGGUCCCCAUAACCCCUGGAGUCAAACAGAAGAUCAUGUCUGUCAUUCGGGAGUGGGGCAGCGGCAGCGACACACUGCGGUGCCUGGCCCUGGCCACUCACGACAACCCACUGCGAAGAGAAGAGAUGCACCUGGAAGACUCUGCCAACUUCAUCAAGUAUGAGACGAACCUGACCUUUGUUGGCUGUGUGGGCAUGCUGGACCCUCCCAGGAUUGAAGUGGCCUCCUCUGUGAAGCUGUGUCGGCAAGCAGGUAUUCGAGUCAUCAUGAUCACAGGGGACAACAAGGGCACCGCCGUGGCCAUCUGCCGCCGCAUUGGUAUCUUUGGCCAAGAUGAGGAUGUGGUGUCAAAGGCUUUCACAGGUCGGGAGUUCGAUGAACUCAGCCCCUCAGCCCAGAGGGAUGCCUGCCUGAAUGCCCGCUGCUUUGCUAGAGUUGAGCCUUCUCACAAGUCUAAGAUCGUGGAGUUCCUUCAGUCCUUCGAUGAGAUCACUGCUAUGACUGGAGACGGUGUGAAUGACGCUCCCGCUCUGAAGAAAGCUGAGAUUGGCAUUGCUAUGGGCUCUGGCACUGCCGUGGCUAAAACUGCCUCCGAGAUGGUCCUAGCAGAUGACAACUUCUCCACCAUCGUGGCUGCCGUGGAGGAGGGGCGGGCCAUCUACAACAACAUGAAGCAGUUCAUCCGCUACCUCAUCUCAUCUAACGUGGGAGAGGUUGUCUGUAUCUUCCUGACAGCAGCCCUUGGGUUUCCCGAGGCUCUAAUCCCUGUCCAGCUGCUCUGGGUCAACCUGGUCACAGACGGCCUGCCUGCCACUGCUCUGGGGUUCAACCCUCCUGACCUGGACAUCAUGAAUAAACCACCGCGGAACCCGAAGGAACCACUGAUCAGCGGGUGGCUCUUUUUCCGUUACCUGGCUAUUGGCUGUUAUGUCGGCGCCGCUACCGUGGGUGCUGCUGCAUGGUGGUUCAUCGCUGCUGACGGUGGUCCCAGAGUGACCUUCUACCAGCUGAGUCAUUUCUUGCAAUGUAAAGAGGACAACCCAGACUUUGAAGGAGUAGAUUGUUCGAUCUUUGAGUCCCCGUACCCGAUGACAAUGGCGCUCUCUGUUUUAGUAACCAUAGAGAUGUGUAACGCCCUCAACAGCCUGUCCGAGAACCAGUCCUUGCUGAGGAUGCCCCCUUGGGAGAACAUCUGGCUCGUGGGGUCCAUCUGCCUCUCGAUGUCCCUCCACUUCCUGAUCCUCUAUGUGGAGCCCUUGCCACUCAUCUUCCAGAUCACACCGCUGAAUCUGACCCAGUGGCUGAUGGUGCUGAAAAUCUCCUUGCCUGUGAUUCUGAUGGACGAGACGCUGAAGUUCGUGGCCCGCAACUACCUGGAACCUGGUAAAGAGUGUGUGCAGCCUCCCACCAAAUCCUGCUCGUUCUCGGCAUGCACCGAUGGGAUUUCCUGGCCGUUUGUGCUGCUCAUAAUGCCCCUGGUGGUCUGGGUGUAUAGCACAGACACUAACUUUAGUGAUAUGUUCUGGUCUUGACUGACAGCUCUCCAUGCAGAAGAUGUCUAACUUAAUUUUUUAUUGUUUAAAGCAACUGUCUAUUUCUGCUGAAUUUUCACAUGAACAUAUUGGCUGGUGAAGGAGGUUUCAUACUCUAGAUUUUGUUUUGCUUUUUCUGACUCCAGUGGGGCUCAAGAUUUUCCUUUUUUAUACACAUAAUUAAAGUGUCCAUUGACAUGUACAGAGAACUAACACUAUUUUAUGCAAAUAUUUUUUUGUAGAUGAAAAAGCAUGUACAGUGUUCUGUUUAAUACUCAUCCUUGUAUAAAAAAAUAGUUGAGCCAGCAGACAUUGUCAGCAAAUUAAUUGGCAGCAGACUUUAGGAAAUGAAUGUGUGUGGGGUUUUUAAAAAAAAAAACUAAAUAGCAUGUAUUGUCUUUUGCAUGAUUACCUGGAUUUAAUUUGAUAUCACAGUCUAAUUUUUAUUCAUAAGCCAAUUUUUCUGCACUGAGCAGAGUCUGCUACCUCAGUCAGUAUUUUUUGGUUUGCCACUUCCUCACCGCCCGCCUCCAUUCACCCUGCUGCCCCGUCCUGCUCGGCUUCUUAGGGUCUCGGUUCUGUUUACACCGUCUUCAGAGGUAUGCCUGUCUCGCUUGUGCAGAAAACAUUGUUCCAGAUUCAGUCAACUGGGGUCGUAUCCCUCCACAUAGUUUUUAAGGUUAUUUAUUUAAAUGUCUAAUGUACUUUAUUGUAACAGACAUUGUUUUGCCAACAUCGCCUACUUCAGUGGCACUUCACGAUCUAGUUUUAAAAGAAAAAUAAAACAUUUUAAAUGGACAGAGAAAAAUAACUGUCUUGUUCUUAAGUGGCUUAUCCUGAACUAUCUCAGAUAGUCACCUUUCUCUUACUAGUUCAGAACUUUAGUUUACUCUGCUUGAGGGAAGAGCGGUCCUGUUCUGCUGCGUAGGUAGUCAUGGAAAUUGUCCUUAAUGUGUAGGCACAAAUUGUCACCUGUGAUACACAUUUUACGCAAGUUUCUGCUGGCCUAUAUGUCGCCUGGUGCAAGGAAUGUAAGGGAAGUGUGUGUGUGUGUGUGUGCGUGUGUGUGCGUGCGUGGGUGCGCACGCGUGUAUGUGUUUUGUAAAAUCUGUAAAUAGCACCUAACCAAAUGAACAUAUUGUAUAGAACUAUUUUUAUUUGAUGUGGCACUAACCACCACCAUUAUUAUCUGAGAGAUGUUUGCGCAUGUUCAAGCUUAGUCUUACAACAGCGUGUGAGUCAUUAACAGUCCUAACCGUGGUGUUUUCCUCCAAUGCCUUCCAUCAUCCAUCAACUAAUUGAUACUGGAGUAACCGCUUCCUAAACCAUUUUGCAGAAAUGUAAGGGUGUUCGGUCGCGUGCAUGUGCGUGUUUAGCAACACAUCCACUAUCCCUCUGCAUGGCUGAUGUUGGGGAAAGGGCAGGAAACGCUCCCCGCCCUCCGUGUGUACUGUGGGGGAGAUGUUAUCAGCAGUGGGGUUUUUAGCUUUUCAAUCAAAAUAAUGCUUACAAAUGUACAAUUUAAUGAAAUCAGAAAGCCUCUCCAGAAAAGUUGGUUUCUUUGCUGCAAGAAGAAUGAGGUUCUGAAACCUUAUCCAUGAGCCUAGAAGCCAUCAGCCGAGUCUCCACAUUUCUCUGCGAAUGUCCUUGCUUCUCCAAGUGUACAAUAUUGAGCUGUGUGCAUGCCUGCCGGUGUCCGUAGCCAGGUUCCUCUGCGGUGACAUUGAGACUUGCUACUUUUUAAAAUUGGCCCUGUACAGUUUGCUUAUUUAUAAAUUUGUUAAACACACUACAGGUGUUGAGUGGUUAAAAUGUAGGCCUCCAGUUUAUAACCAGUUAUUUUUGAGUGUGCAUAGACAGCUAUUUCACACUGUAUUAAAUGUAACUUAUUUAAUGAAAUCCGAAGCAGUAGACAGAUGUUGGUGCAAUACAAAUAUUGUGAUGCAUUUAUCUUAAUCUAAUGCUAAGCGUCAGUUUAUCACAACGCAUGUUUGACUAGACUGUAAAUAAAGGUCGGUUUUCCCUUCUGUGCUGGUAACAGGCGUUGCACAGACGCGGUUUCCAGUAAAUAAAUCUAUUCUAUGAUAAA